rnacentral:rRNA from 1 species
UACGUAGGGUGCAAGCGUUGUCCGGAAUUAUUGGGCGUAAAGAGCUCGUAGGCGGUCUGUCGCGUCGGCUGUGAAAACCUGGGGCUCAACUCCGGGCCUGCAGUCGAUACGGGCUGACUAGAAUUCGGUAGGGGAGACUGGAAUUCCUGGUGUAGCGGUGAAAUGCGCAGAUAUCAGGAGGAACACCGGUGGCGAAGGCGGGUCUCUGGGCCGAUAUUGACGCUGAGGAGCGAAAGCGUGGGGAGCAAACAGG